CCAAGGGUAUGGCUGUUCGCCAUUUAAAGUGGUACGCGAGCUGGGUUUAGAACGUCGUGAGACAGUUCGGUCCCUAUCUGCCGUGGGCGUUGGAAAAUUGAAAGGGGCUGCUCCUAGUACGAGAGGACCGGAGUGGACGAACCUCUGGUGUUCGGGUUGUCACGCCAGUGGCAUUGCCCGGUAGCUAAGUUCGGAAUCGAUAAGCGCUGAAAGCAUCUAAGCGCGAAGCGAGCCUUGAGAUGAGUUUUCCCUGGCACUUUAAGUGCCCUAAAGGGUUGUUCGAGACUAGAACGUUGAUAGGCAGGGUGUGUAAGCGCUGUGAGGCGUUGAGCUAACCUGUACUAAUUGCCCGUGAGGCUUAACCAUACAACACCCAAGGGGUUUUGUA
rnacentral:rRNA from 1 species